AGACAUUCCACUGCAUUUCCUCAAGAGAAAUGAAUGGAGAUAACUGUAUAAAGACUUAUAAAUAAUAAUGUCUUCAGGAUUUUGAAUUCAAAAUUUCUUAAAAAAAAAAAAGGACAAAGCAUCUGAAUGGACACUUAUUCAGAG
rnacentral:lncRNA from 1 species